rnacentral:lncRNA from 1 species
ACUGUGAAGUCACAAGAGGCCCUGAGCUCUGUGGGCCCCAGGUGCCCCGGGAAAACUUGGGGGAGAAUGGGCAUCCCACCCCAGCACUUUCUAGGAAGAAGGGCAGCAUUUUGAAGGGCUGGAAGUAGAGGAAGGAGGUUGCGGGUAGAAGACUCCAUACUUUCUGUGACGCCUAUUCCUUAGUCAGAGGCAUGGCUUGCCUGGGCCUCUGGGUGCAGCUGCACAGAUUCAAGCAGCCUGAAGGAAAGGUGACUGACAGCUAAUGAUCUGAAAAGAACUUGUCUCAACUCAACGUCAUUCCUGGCAUUAUCGAACAAAGCAAUAAACCUCACAGAAUGGAAGCUACAGUGUCCAGGGCCAGCUCUGCUAAGGUAACCAAAGACAGAGAAGGAGGCAAAAGUGACAGAAGAAACUCAUGGGAAACCAACAGAAAUAUAAUGGCUUUGGCAGAAAUGCAAUUAUCAAUUGGGAGGAGAGCCUUUAUAUAACCAAAGAUAUUUUUGGACCAUGAAUUCAGAAAUUCUCGGAGCCACCCAUCAGUGCCUGAGCUUCAGUGAGUCCAUAUCCCAUGUCACCCACGGCAAAGGAGACUCUAAGACUUCUGAAGAGUUUCUUGCUUCUUUCCUGUGGGGCAGUGACUCCACUUCCCAGCAGUAAUGGAAUAUCCUGAAUUAGCUACAUUAAUGUUAGAACCAUUUGGACCUCACCCAGGACUUCAACUACAUUAUGCUAAAGUUACAGAACCCAAAUUUGGCAACUGUCUGCAUCUGAACAACAGAAGUUUCAACAUUCUGCCAACAGAGUAACUCCUGGACGAUUGGCACAGAAGAAGGCACAAGGCAAAUACCCAUCUCUGUACACCCUGUGCUACUGUGUCAUGUGCUGCUCCAGGCAACUCCAAUGGAUUGGCCACCCUGGCCAAUGUGUGAGUUAUAAAGCAAUGAUGUGUAGCUAUUGAACCUACAAUUUGGUUAAAGUUAAACUCUCAAGUUUUAUAUGUUUACAAGCAUAUUGUCCUUUUGUUAAUUUCCUCCCAGUACUCAUUUCUUGACUUCUUUUAGUUUUACUAUGUAGUAAUUUUUAAAAUGUUAGUCAAAGUUAGUUAAUUUAAUUCACUUAGCAGAUUUUCCUGUAAUUUUGGUUAAACAGUAUCCUUUCUGUACAGGCCCUCCAAACACCAGCACUGAGUAGAAAGAGGCUCUGAUUCAUGAAAUGUGAAUUUAUGACAGUUGCCACUCUUAAAAAAAAAAACAAACAGACAGAACUUGAGCAAUACAUGACUGAUGCAUUCUCAGCCUGCUUCCUGUGUUCCAUCUGUCUUUCUGCCAGUGCAUUCACCCUCCAGGUUUGAAAGUAGUCGGGCAAGAAAGUACUAAACAUAGAGAAAGGGCAAUUCCAAAAGAACAAAUGAUUGCUUAAUUUAGGCUGACAUUACCCAGUUGCUGGGGGUAUGGGCCAUGGGGAUGGGCCAUGUUCACCACUUAGGUUGGGCAAAUUCCCAAGAUGCCUUUUGACAUAGUAAUGAGGGGGAAUACAUCACUCAUGCCCACU